UCCAGAAAUGAGUCCGUCCAUCUACAG
rnacentral:piRNA from 1 species